AACGUGUCGCGAUGGAUGACUUGGCU
rnacentral:rRNA from 1 species